rnacentral:rRNA from 1 species
GACGAACGCUGGCGGCGUGCUUAACACAUGCAAGUCGAACGAAGUGGCGAACGGGUGAGUCACGCGUAAUCAACCUGCCCUUCAGAGGGGGACAACAGUUGGAAACGACUGCUAAUCCCGCAUACUGAAGGAGGGGAUUGCGUCGGAUUAGCUAGUUGGAGGGAUAACGGCCCACCAAGGCGAUGAUCAGUAGCCGGGCUGAGAGGAGGAAAGGCCACAUGGGGACUGAGACACGGCCCAGACUCCGAAGGGAGGCAGCAGUGGGGAAUCUUCCGCAAUGGACGAAAGUCUGACGGAGCAACGCCGCGUGAGUGAUGACGGCCUUCGGGUUGUAAAGCUCUGUUAAUCGGGACGCGGUACCGGAAUAGAAAGCCACGGCUAACUACGUGCCAGCAGCCGCGGUAAUAC